rnacentral:rRNA from 1 species
GAUGAACGCUAGCGGCAGGCUUAAUACAUGCAAGUCGAACGGUAACAGGUCUUUCGGGAUGCUGACGAGUGGCGCACGGGUGAGUAACGCGUACAUAAUCUACCUUCAUCAGGGGGAAAGUCACUGGAAACGGUGAAUAAUCCCGCAUACAAUUACGGAUUGGCAUCAAUUAGUAAUAAAAGCUACGGCGGAUGAAGAUGUGUGUGCGUCUGAUUAGCUAGAUGGUAAGGUAACGGCUUACCAUGGCGACGAUCAGUAGGGGGCGUGAGAGCGUGAUCCCCCACACGGGUACUGAGACACGGACCCGACUCCUACGGGAGGCAGCAGUAAGGAAUAUUGGUCAAUGGAGGGAACUCUGAACCAGCCAUGCCGCGUGCGGGAAGACGGCCCUAUGGGUUGUAAACCGCUUUUAUAUGGGAAGAAUAGUCGUCAUUUAUGACGGAAGAGACGGUACCAUAAGAAUAAGCACCGGCUAACUCCG